rnacentral:tRNA from 1 species
GUUUUAGGGGGUAUCCCCCUAAAGCCGGCCUCCCAAGCCGGUGAUCCCGGGUUCAAAUCCCGGCGGCCGCA